rnacentral:rRNA from 1 species
CGGACGGGUGAGUAACACGUGGGUAACCUGCCCGGAAGUGGGGAAUACCUCGGGGAAACUCGAGCUAAUACCGCAUGACAUCUUUGGGACGAAAGUCCCGACGAUCAAAGCGGGGUCGCAAGAUCUCGCGCUACCGGAUGGGCCCGCGCCCGAUUAGCUAGUUGGUGAGGUAACGGCUCACCAAGGCUUCGAUCGGUAACCGGCCUGAGAGGGCGAUCGGUCACACCGGAACUGAGACACGGUCCGG